AGGUCUGUUCGAAGGCCCUCCACUCACAUUCUAUGAGUGGGCGUGGUUCAAAAGCCGGCCGAGA
rnacentral:snoRNA from 1 species